rnacentral:rRNA from 2 species
UUGUAACAAGGUUUCCGUAGGUGAACCAGCGGAGGGAUCAUU